rnacentral:rRNA from 1 species
CGAACGGCAGCGCGGACUUCGGUCUGGCGGCGAGUGGCGAACGGGUGAGUAAUGCAUCGGAACGUACCUUUCAGUGGGGGAUAACGUAGCGAAAGUUACGCUAAUACCGCAUAUUCUGUGAGCAGGAAAGCAGGGGAUCGCAAGACCUUGCGCUGAUGGAGCGGCCGAUGUCAGAUUAGCUAGUUGGUGGGGUAAAGGCUCACCAAGGCGACGAUCUGUAGCGGGUCUUAGAGGAUGAUCCGCCACACUGGAACUGAGACACGGUCCAGACUCCUACGGGAGGCAGCAGUGGGGAAUUUUGGACAAUGGGCGCAAGCCUGAUCCAGCCAUGCCGCGUGAGUGAAGAAGGCCUUCGGGUUGUAAAGCUCUUUCGGCCGGGAAAAAAUCGCUUGGGUUAAUACCCUGAGUGGAUGAUGGUACCGGAAUAAGAAGCACCGGCUAACUACGUGCCAGCAGCCGCGGUAAUACGUAGGGUGCGAGCGUUAAUCGGAAUUACUGGGCGUAAAGCGUGCGCAGGCGGUUUUGUAAGACAGGCGUGAAAUCCCCGGGCUCAACCUGGGAACUGCGUUUGUGACUGCAAGGCUAGAGUAUGGCAGAGGGGGGUGGAAUUCCACGUGUAGCAGUGAAAUGCGUAGAGAUGUGGAGGAACACCAAUGGCGAAGGCAGCCCCCUGGGCCAAUACUGACGCUCAUGCACGAAAGCGUGGGGAGCAAACAGGAUUAGAUACCCUGGUAGUCCACGCCCUAAACGAUGUCAACUAGGUGUUGGGUGGGUAAAACCAUUUGGUACCGUAGCUAACGCGUGAAGUUGACCGCCUGGGGAGUACGGCCGCAAGGUUAAAACUCAAAGGAAUUGACGGGGACCCGCACAAGCGGUGGAUGAUGUGGAUUAAUUCGAUGCAACGCGAAAAACCUUACCUACCCUUGACAUGCCAGGAACUUGCCAGAGAUGGCUUGGUGCCCGAAAGGGAGCCUGGACACAGGUGCUGCAUGGCUGUCGUCAGCUCGUGUCGUGAGAUGUUGGGUUAAGUCCCGCAACGAGCGCAACCCUUGUCGUUAAUUGCCAUCAUUUAGUUGGGCACUUUAACGAGACUGCCGGUGACAAACCGGAGGAAGGUGGGGAUGACGUCAAGUCCUCAUGGCCCUUAUGGGUAGGGCUUCACACGUCAUACAAUGGUCGGUACAAAGGGUUGCCAAGCCGCGAGGCGGAGCCAAUCCCAGAAAGCCGAUCGUAGUCCGGAUCGCAGGCUGCAACUUGCCUGCGUGAAGUCGGAAUCGCUAGUAAUCGUGGAUCAGCAUGUCACGGUGAAUACGUUCCCGGGUCUUGUACACACCGCCCGUCACACCAUGGGAGCGGGUUCCGCC